CCUACGGGAGGCAGCAGUGAGGAAUAUUGGUCAAUGGACGCAAGUCUGAACCAGCCAUGCCGCGUGCAGGAAGACGGCUCUAUGAGUUGUAACCUGCUUUUGUACGAGGGUAAACGCACAUACGCGUAUCUGUCUGAAAGUAUCGUACGAAUACGGAUCGGCUAACUCCGUGCCAGCAGCCGCGGUAAUACGGAGGAUUCAAGCGUUAUCCGGAUGUAUUGGGUUUAAAGGGUGCGUAGGCGGUCGGAUAAGUUAGAGGUGAAAUCCCGAGGCUCAACUUCGGAAUUGCCUCUGAUACUGUUCGGCUAGAGAGCAGUUGCGGUAGGCGGAAUGUAUGGUGUAGCGGUGAAAUGCUUAGAGAUCAUACAGAACACCAGUGGCGAAGGCAGCUUACCAAGCUACUUCUGACGUUGAGGCACGAAAGCGUGGGGAGCAAACAGGAUUAGAUACCCGUGUAGUC
rnacentral:rRNA from 1 species